UUCAGACUGCAGUAUAAAAUCGGAAGGGAAAGUUAUGGUUACCUUCACAAGUUGUACAGUAAAAAUAGCACUUCGAAGUAGUUAAGCUUACCGAUCUAAAGAGCAUCUAAUAGCUGUUCUCCUAUAGCUGCCAGAAGUUCCCCUUUGACGGUUUUUGGUCUUGUGUAAUUCCAAGUAUUUCUGUUAUCGCAGUACCGUCUAAUGACCAUGAGUGUCCACCUGUAUUGUAACAUCCCUCAAUUCCGAAUGUUCGUAUAAAUUUUUGGUGAUAAUGUAAGCAUCUAUUUUAAUUGACAAAAGAAAUAGAGUAUGAAUCAGAGGUAACUUAUUUUUAAGAUUUGGGAGAUCUGUUCAAAAAAAAAAAGAAAAAAAAGAAAGAAUCUGAGGACCUAUAUGUAAACCCUAAGGACCUAAUCGUGAAUAUGAUAAAAACAAGGACUAAACUGCAAAAUGCACCAAAUGACAAAUUCCACCGCUUAAGCCUCUCUGCCUUCGUUGUUAAGGAAGCAGAGGAGGCAGCUCGUGGGUGAUCAGGGAAAGAAAAGAAGAAGAAGAAGAAGAAGAAGAAGAAGGAGAAGAGAAAGAAAAUUUGGGGCUUUUAGGGUUUUUGCUUUAAUCUUGUUACUUCGGGUCAAAAUUUGCAAAGGAUAGCGUAACUCUUGCUUAAAUGUUAAGAAUGGGCUGAGGCAGCGGAAAGUUUAGAAGACGUUGGGCAGAACUUUUGUUAGCAUAUAUGUAGUUGUGUAUAAGCUACCUUGCAUCUAAUGAAAUGUGACUAUGAAUCUAAACCUGUGGAUUUUGUGUAAGUUAAAGGAUCCCUCAUGUAUAAGGUUUUGGAAUGUUAAAUUAAAUUGUGUAAUGAUAUGAACUUAUGGUAGAUCGAUGAUUGUGGUGACUGCA